GGAAACAGGAAGGGGAGUUAUAACGGCUCAAACACAGACAGACACAGACACGAUUCCCUAACAGCAGCAAACUAACAAAAGGAUGAUGAGGAUGUCAGGAAGAGUCACGAGUUGCUGUGCAGCUCUGUUCCUUGCACUGGCCUCUGUGUCAGCUGUAGAAAGACUCAAUUCAAUUAAUGAUUUGAAGAAAAUCUACAGUGGUCAAUCUGUGCCCAAACACACUCUUCUACUUCUCCACUGGUUUGCCAACGUAGUUGAUAUCGACAGCAACAACAUCAUAUGGUUGACCUUUGACCCAAACAAUGACGAUUUUGGAUGGCAUUAUUAUAGCAACUAUGAGCAGGUGCUGGACCCACUGCCUCGGGGUUACAAGUACUACACUGUUGGCAAUCUCCUUCUAGACGAACGUGAACAACUUCCAGAUUAUGUUGCCCAUCCCCGGGCAGAGUAUGCGGGAAGAAACUGGGACCGGAUCGUGUUCAGAGUCAGGCUGCGGAACACAGGACGGCAAACUUGGCAACAGAUAGAUCGAGUGUACAUCACACAGCAUUAUGGGCACCAUGGAAAUACGACAUAUAAUCCUGAACAUACCUAUGAGAUCACGACUAACCUCCUGAGACAGAUCCGAAAGUUUUCAGUGGGAGCAAACCAGUCACUGAGGACUCUCAGAAAUCGCUAUGGAAGUAACACUAGUGAUUUCCAGUUAUCAGAAAUCAGAAACAUAUGGGGGAACCUUGCUUGUCUUGGACUGCUGUUGUUUAUUGUGAUCGAGGAAAGGUACAACUUUGACCAACAAAGUGCCAGCCUUCAGAGUGAGACAACAGGAGGAAACAAGGUUGUGACACAACCUCAUUACAACAUCCAAGGCCCCAGACAAAAUGGGUGGAAUUGUGAAACAUGCAUUCUCAUUUUAGUGCUUAUAUGUAUAUUUGUCUUUGCCAUUCUUUGUUUCCUCUGGCAUUCCAGCGGUAGGGGAAGAUGACAAGAAAUGAGAAAGAUGUUGUCCAAACCAAACGUUUUUCUGUUUAUUACUUAUUUUACUCAAUUAUUUUUUUUAAAUUAUAUUUAACUUCACAAAGAAAAAAAAAAAGACAAAAAAAGACGAAACAUACAAUACGCAAUAUUACUUUUAAGAUGAUUGGGAAUCAAGCAGUUAGGACUGAUCAAUGGACCUGGAUAAGGGUUAAUUCUAAAAGCUGGUGUAUGCUUUGUUUUGCUUUCAUGUUUAUGUAAAUGGUUACUACAUUAUUUUCUUAACACUGUUCUGGUAAAUAUUGAGAUAGAGGUUGUGUUCAUGGACCAAAUACUGAAAAAUCACAGAGUCUUCAGGGUGUCACCUCAGGUCAGCACUAAUUUAGGCUAUAGUACCAACGUAAAAUCUAUCUGAUCAGUACAGGAUCUUCACAAAAUGUCGACAUCAGUUAAAGACAGUGAUGUUAUAUUAGUUCAGAUUAAAACCUGCAUAUUCAAAUUUAAUUUGCAAGAAUCUUACUUGCCUGGGAAAAUUACAGAACAAAAGAUUAAGGACAUAUUUUACAUUUAUUAGACCAAGAAGUGUGGUCCAAGGGGUUCUACUUACAAAAAAUAAACCACACCUAGUUAAUUACAGCACAAACUCUUCUGUAAAAUAACUAUUUUUAUACAUAGUAAGGCACUAUACUGGUCUUAACGCUUCAGGCUUAAUUCAUAUUCAAUGUCAUGCUCCAGCACGUCUAAUCCAGUAGUGGUGACUCACUGUUCUUUCAUAUGUGUUUCCUAGAGAUGAAGAGAAAGUAAAUAGCUCUGAUGCAUAGAUGAGACCCACAAGUGAAAGGAUCGAUGGCGUGCUAAGCAUAGCUCACAUUGAUAAUGUAUUAGCAUAAACAAAAUAACAGAUGUAUAUUUUACAUAUGGUUUUGUAUUCUUGCUAUAAUAUUGUAAAUGGGGUGUUCAUUGAAUACACACUGCUGUUUGUUUGGUGUGUAAAUAAAAAGUUUAAAAGACAA